rnacentral:rRNA from 1 species
UGGGUGAUCUACCCUCGGUUUCGGGGUAGCCCGGGGAAACCCGGAUUAAUACCGAAUGGCCUCUAGAGCUCUCGGGCUCGAGAGAAAAGGUAGCUUCGGCCUCUGACCGAGGAUGAGCCCGCGGCCGAUUAGCUAGUUGGUGGGGUAACGGCCCACCAAGGCGACGAUCGGUAGCUGGUCUGAGAGGACGAUCAGCCACACUGGGACUGAGACACGGCCCAGACUCCUACGGGAGGCAG